UAUAAAAACUCCCUCCUUCGCCUUCUCCUCGUCUUUGUGUGUAAUCCAAGCGCAUUCUUCCGAUCAGGAAGUGUCUUCGAAAUACUCUCUUUCUGCAGACAUCUCUUAACCCACGCCAUGUAUUUGGGGCGCUCUUUUUCAAUGCUCAAGCCGGACAAAAUCUCAUAUGUGUGAAAAUAACAGUAGUGAGGAGCCAAACAAAUAUCCACGAAACCCAACGUUUCACCUCCGAAGAAUGGCUUUUCUCCAAGCUCAUCUUCCGAUCUGUUCAGGAUUUUAACGAAUUCCCUCUUGGCUGCCUCCGGAUUUUCAUCUCUUGUUCUCCAGAAAUAUUGUUGGAUGCUUGGACAAUUCACAACCAUAUUCAGAACAUGGUGAGAGCUAGAUAGGGCUAUGGACCUCAAUAAAAUGAAAUAUUUCAUGGUCAAUAUAAAACUUGUGGAGAUUUGGAGAUUACCUAUGAUUAUCUUGAAAACCAACAUGUGACGAACAUGGGUUUUCCUAACCCAAAGAUUGUUGUAAGGUAGGAAUGAUGUUAUGUACUAUUGUUCUUAGUCUUGUUUAAGUUUUUUUGAAUCCUAUCUCAAAGCAUGUCCUAUGGUAGGAUGUCUUUGUCUUUAUGUUCUUUUGCUUGCUCCUCUCUUCUUUGUCCUAUCCUUCGCGUGCUUAAGAUAGAUAAACAAGAGGAGAUUAGGUUUUCAGUGUAUUACGCUUGUGAUUUUGUUCCUUUCCCAAGAUCUAUCUUGAGGUAGGAUGAUCGUUUUUUUAAUGACUUUUUUGUACAUUUUUUCUCUCUUUUAAUGGUACUACUUAAAAAAAAAAAAAGCUCAUAACUCUUUUGAUACUUUCCAUAAUUUUAUAAACUCCUUUUUAUAUUGGUUACACCAUGUUAAUUCUUUUUUUAUUACCAUGCAUAUGCAUGACAGCCACAUUGUACUAGAUUUUCCUUCUUGGAGGCGAAUAUCAAUACCAGGAUUCCCGGUAUCGAACAAGAUGCUUAAGUAAAAUUUUAUUCAUCCAGUUUAAAAUAUAAUUUUGAUUCUCUUUGAGAGAUUAGAUUAGACUCUCCACUUGAUGGUUCACUUCAGAUUCUCUUUCAAAGAGCAUUUUCAUCCAGUCUUUCCUUGCCUGGAGCUUCAUAUUUCUGGGUUGCAUCGAUCCCGAGUGCCAAAAGAGCUAAAUGAUUUUUAGGUCCGAAUAGAUCCAAAGCACUUGGUCUUGGAACUCCAGGAGAAAUCUCUUCAACCGUAGAUUUGUCGUCAUGAACAAACAUGUAUGUAUUUCGCACUCCAUUUCGAGGUUG